AGGAGCGGGCGGCGCGGGGCGGGCGCGGCGGGGACCGGGGCGCUGGGAGCCCGUUGGGCCGCGAACGCAGCCGCCACGCCGGGGCCUCCGAGAUCGGGUGCCCGGGAUGAGCCUCAUCCGGAAAAAGGGCUUCUACAAGCAGGACGUCAACAAGACGGUCUGGGAGCUGCCCAAGACCUACGUGUCCCCGACGCACGUCGGCAGCGGGGCCUAUGGCGCCGUGUGCUCGGCCAUCGACAAGCGGUCAGGGGAGAAGGUGGCCAUCAAGAAGCUGAGCCGGCCCUUCCAGUCCGAGAUCUUCGCCAAGCGCGCCUACCGGGAGCUGCAGCUGCUGAAGCACAUGCAGCAUGAGAACGUCAUUGGGCUCCUGGAUGUCUUCACCCCAGCGUCCUCCCUGCGCAACUUCCAUGACUUCUACCUGGUGAUGCCCUUCAUGCAGUCGGAUCUGCAGAAGAUCAUGGGGAUGGAGUUCAGUGAGGAUAAGAUCCAGUACCUGGUGUAUCAGAUGCUCAAAGGCCUUAAGUACAUCCACUCAGCUGGGGUCGUGCACAGGGACCUGAAGCCGGGAAACCUGGCUGUGAACGAGGAUUGUGAACUGAAGAUCCUGGAUUUUGGGCUGGCGCGGCCUGCAGACGUCGAGAUGACUGGCUACGUGGUGACCCGCUGGUACCGGGCCCCUGAGGUGAUCCUCAGCUGGAUGCACUACAACCAGACUGGUCAGUGUGGACAUCUGGUCUGUUGGCUGUAUCAUGGCGGAGAUGCUGACAGGGAAAACUCUGUUCAAGGGGAAAGAUUACCUGGACCAGCUGACCCAGAUCCUGAAAGUGACCGGGGUGCCAGGCACAGAGUUCGUGCAGAAGCUGAAAGACAACGCGGCCAAAUCCUACAUCCAGGCCUUGCCACAGAGCCCCAAGAAGGAUUUCACUCAGCUCUUCCCACAGGCCAGCCCCCAGGCCGUGGAACUGCUGGAGAAGAUGCUGGAGCUGGACGUGGACAAGCGCCUGACGGCCGCGCAGGCCCUUACCCAUCCCUUCUUUGAACCCUUCCGGGACCCUGAGGAAGAGACGGAGGCCCAGCAGCCGUUUGAUGAUUCCUUAGAACACGAGAAACUCACAGUGGAUGAAUGGAAGCAGCACAUCUACAAGGAGAUUGUGAACUUCAGCCCCAUUGCCCGGAAGGACUCGCGGCGCCGGAGUGGCAUGAAGCUGUAGGGACACAUCUCGCAUGGCACUGCCGGCCAGACACUACCCAAGGACCAGUAUUUAUUUGUCACUACCAAACUCAGCCCUUCUUGGAAUACAGCCUUUCAAGCAGAGGACAGAAGGAAGGAUCCUUCUCCUUGAGUGGGAAAUGGACCUAGUAGAUGCAGAAUUCAAAUGCUGGUUGGGAGAGGAUAGCUCUGAUUCUAAUGGGCCACAUUAAACUGCCCAUCUGGAGAAUCGCCUGCAGUGGGGGGCCUUUCCUUUCUGCUGGAGUGGGGCUGAGCAGGUGCUGAGCCAGGCCGGGGGGCUGCUUUGGUUUCCUAGGGAUGCUCUAACCAAUUACCACAAACUGGGUGGCUUGAAACAGCAGAACUUGAUUCCUUCAUGGUUCUGGAGGCUGGAAAUCUGAGCUGGAGGUGUUGGCAGGGCCGUGGUCCCUUUGAAGGCUCCAGGGAAGAAUCCUUCCUUGGCUCUCUUUAGCUCAUGGUGGCAGUGGGCAGACCGGGGCAUUCCCGGCUUGGGCUGUAUUCCUCCAAUCUCUGUCUCUUCUGUUCUCUCUUCUUUUAAGAACAACAAUCAUUGGAUGUGGGGCCCACCCUAAUCCUGUAUGAGCUCAUCUCGAUCCUUAUUAAUUACACCUGCAAAAGCUCUAGUUCCAAAUAAAGUCACAUUCUCAGGUU